GAAUCUGAGGAUGGUGGACAGGGAGAAGGGAGACUGGAGGGUAACAGGUUGGGUGCGCACAUGCAGACACACACACACACACCAGCGCACCUGUCCACACUCAUCCACCUGCUUCACACGAGCCAGGAGACCACCGCGUGCCCACUGACGGUCUUACGUUUGGCAAAUGGGCACGUGUACACAUGACCAUAUACACAAGCAGGCACCUUCCAAUCCAGAUAAGAAGGAAUUAAGAAGCCCAGCAAAAUGCCUCCUCCCCUCCAUGCCCAAAGAUAAAUAAUUCAUUUGUUGUGUAACCGCUCUUGUUCCAAAAAUAAUUCCCUUGUCUCAGCUUGCAUAGGGGAGGGGGAGCGGAGCGGCACGGCUGUGGGCCCCCCAAGCAGGGGGCACAGAGGCCAGGCUCUCCCCCAGGGGCAGGGCAUGGGGAGAACUCAGCCUACAGACAGGAGCAGCACAGAGGGAGAGAGGGCAAGAGCCGGGAUAGCCAGACACACCCCCAUAUCACGUCCCCAAAGUGCUUUCCAUUAGAGGUCCCUGAUGCUGGAGUGAGAAGGCCUUGGGCCGACGGCGAAGCCGGAGGCAUCUGGGAUAGUGUGGUCAAAGCCCUGUGUCCCCUCUGGGGCUGGAGUCAGAGGCCCAGAGAGGGGCAGUGCAGCCUGGGCCAGGAUCGAGGUUCCCUAGGCAUGAAGAUGCAGGAGGCCUGGAGCCCCUCCAUCCAGCUCAAUGAGCCAGAUGGGAGACCCCAUCGUGAAGUGGGGACCAGGCCUGGCCAUCGGAUGCGGAAGAAGUAAGGUGCACCAUGUUGCCCAUGCCCCAACAUGCAGAGGGGCAGCGUCGGUGGUAUUGAGUUCACAGCCCACAGCCCCUCACUUUACAGGUGGGGAAACUGAGCCCCAGACCAGGGGAGACUUGACCUCUCAGCCAGAGGUGGCUCCGGGCUCCCACUCAGCGGUGUGCCCUCCCCUCGCCCUGGACAGUGGCCAGGGACAUGGAGAUUGGGCCAGAGAAAUCCACAUUUGGACAAGGAAAGCCGGAGACUGUUCACAAGAGCCACCUAUACCUCACCCUCUUCCUCCUGGGAAACUCCAGGAGAGAAAGCGCUUCGGAAAGGAAAAAAAAAAAAAGAAAAAAAAUAUAUAUAUAUUAAACCUUGGCUGUUAAAGCAAAACCAAUUUACAGCUCUCAGCCCCAGAGGGCUGGAACGGAGGAAGCUGAAGCAGGGAGGGAAACCGUCCCCAAAGAAGUCCAGACAGUAUUUGGGCAAGAGGUAGCAGCAGCAGAGAGAAGAAACGUGGCAAAGCGGGGAGCGGAGCCCUGUAGAGGGAUCUCGGGACAAGCUCCCCCCCCCCCCCCCCCCCCCCCCGCCGUCUAGCUGGCUACAGAUGCCCCCGGUCGUGAUGACAUCUUAGAAGGGGGAGAGGAAGAGGAGUCAGCAAGAUCUGAAGCGUCCAUGGGGCCAGUUCAGAGCAACACUGCCACAAAAUAUGCAGAAACUGAGGCUCGGAGAGGUGCCAUGAUCCGCCCAGGACCACACAGCUAGGUUCCUGGACCUGCCUGGGCUCUUAGAACUACAAAACAUUCCAGAAUUCCUGCAGAGGUAACUUUCCCAUACUCGCAUACCCUCAGUGACAAGGAUCUCAACACCCGUAUGAAGCUGCUUCUCCCCUUCUUGCACAGCUCCGAUUGUUAUAAAUUUCUUCCUAUAUCGCAAGACCA